UCCUCCUGCUUUUCAAUUAGGUCAUCAAUUAUGUUGGAGUCCGCUGUGAGCCGUAAUCAGGCUGCAGAUCCGCCUCAGCUGUUGCAGGAAGCGCCGGCCCCUCCGCCGCUACAUCACCGUUUCUAUGGGACCCGGAGAGCCAAUGGCUGAUGUAAGAGUGGGGAAACGGCCCGUGUUGUGUAUUGAGGCUCGGCCCUGGACGUGAGCCCAGCAUGCAGUGUGUUUCCUCACAACAAGGCAGCUCUCAAAGGCCAGACAGUUUCCUGACUUUGUAUAGGAACACAAUCAGGCCUGCAGGGCGAGGAGGGGGGCGGCCGAGUGGACGGACGUAUUCUCACUGUGCUUCUUCAGUGAUUUGAUCUAAAAAUAGUGACGCUCUACUGUGUUUUCAGUGUGUUUCUGUACAUACUGAACCCAAGUGGUAAAUAUACGUACAUAUCUAUAGAGAGAAAGAGAUGAGAGGAGAUGCACAAACAGAUAUUAGAGCCAAGCUUCAGUAACAGAUGAAACAUUAAACAGUGAAAACUAAUGUGUUCAUCUCAGUGUUACCUGUUAUUGUAUUUCAUUGCAGCAGUAAUUUCUUGAGGAUUAUCUUAUGAAUCAAAGCACUGAUUAUCAAAAUUCUUCGCAUGAAAUGAGAGCUGAAACAAAAGUCGAUUAAUCAGUUAGUCGAUCGACGGAAAAUUAAUCUGCAACCUCCCACUAUUUUGAUAAUCAAUUAAUCAUUUAGGUCACUUUGCAAGAAAUAAAAUGCCAAACAUGAACUGGUUCCAGCUUCUCAAAUGAGAUAAGAUAAACCUUUAUUUAUCCCUGGAGGGAAAUUCAGGUGUCAUAGCAACUGCAAUGAGAAUGAAACACAGUAAAAGUACAGAACCAAACCAAGAUAAUAAGAAUAAAAAUAUAAAUAUACAUAUAAAUAAAAAUAAAGAUAAAGUAAAACACUGAGCAGAUGGCCCUAGAUAUCUGCACUGGAUCUCUGAAUGAGUGGACAUAUGUACAGUCUAUCAAUAAAUAGUCUGUCCAUUAGGUAUAAUGUACUUAUAUAAAUAUGAGUGACUAUAUGAAUGAAUGAAAGUAUUAACAUGAACAUAUUUGCUGCUUUUCUCUGUUUUAUAUCCUUGUUAACCGAAUAGCUUUAGAAUUUGGACCGUCGGCCGGAAAAAAAUAAAUUUUUACAACAAUACAAUUUUUUAGACCAACCAGUUAAUUGAUUAAUGAUAAUAAAAAUUGUUAGUUGCAACCCUAUGUGAAAUAAUGUGGAAGUAGCAACUCGUCCUGAUUUUACCAAUUUUAGAAUUAUACAUGUUUCUAAAUGAUUUAAUGAGGCAAAAUCUCCUUGAAUGUGGGAAAUUAUCAAUAGAUUUGAAUUAAAAAUGAGGUUUACAUGACUGAUUUGUUUGUAUGCUGAAGUGAAUCCUCUUUCAGGAGCUAAACUGUCUGCUCCUCAUGGUUUUGGCAGAGUUGAAUUAAGUAUUAUAAUCUAUUCCAUAGGCUGAAAUAAAGGUCAUGUGGGUGAUGAUGAUGAUGUUGGAUGAUGAUGUACUCCAGGUUUUAUCAUUUGAUGUACAUUGUUUUAUCUGAGCUUGUGUGGCAGCUUUUAGCACGUUUCACAGAUUUUUCUUACAUGAUUUUGGUGUCAUGUGUGUUUCACCUGGCUGCAAGACACAUUUCUCCUUGGGGACGGUAAAGUUGAAAUUGAAAACAAGGUAUAGAUCUACAUUUUAUAGAAUAAAAAUAUGCAGAGAUCUGCCUUCAGUCAGUAGCUGUAUUAUACUAAGAUGUUAAGGAACGACAUAUAUUACACUCUGUUCGUCAUUUUAGUAACACUCGCUGCCUAUGAAAAAUUGACUGUGCUGCUGAGUGUUCAUUAAUUUAUUCAGCACAUACAGUUUGUACAUUCUGCAUCAUGAGGUUUUAAUGCACAGGCGGCCACCAUCUUUAUGCACCUCGUCUUAUUACAUCAAACCUCCUCCACUAUCUUUAAAAUCUACUAAAAGAAGACACAGUUAUGCAAAGAAAUAUGAUCAAAAAAGAGUCUGACACACAGUUGGCUUUAAAUAUCAGUUUGAUUAUUUAAUAACUGCUUACAUUUGCUAAGGAUUUGCUUGAAACAAAGGCAUAUUAUUUCCAUUGUUUGAAAACAUGCUAAAACAAAAUAUGUAUUUCUUUUUGUAUCAUCUAAUACAAAUGAGACUCACUUAAAGCACAUUCUCAAAACUUGGCAGCCUGAAAAAUGUUAUUUGAUGCCUUUUUUUCUCCGUGCCAUGUGCUCUCUCUCUACUUCUUCCCACAACUCUUUAAUGCAACUUUCUAAAAAUGCCAGAAUUCCUUAAAUAUAAUCAGCGGUUGAAGAACACGGACCACUGGCAUACAAAGGGUCAAAAAGCAAAAAUGAGUCACUGAAGCUCUGAACCUUUUAUGCCUAAAGAUGUCACUGCCAUCUUCACAGCCCAAGAUAGCUUUGUGUAGAUGUACUGCACAAACUAUGUCUUAUUUAUACGUCUCUUUGGUUGAAUUAUAAAGGAAUGUUUGACGUUGUUUUGGAGCUAAAUUCUGAGGCCUCUUCCGUCUAAGUGUUGGCAUUACAUAAUUGAGGGCUGAGACUUUUAUAGUUGAAAUUAUUAAGAGAUGUUUUUUUUUUUAGACUAAAUGGAUUGCUUCAGAACUUUGGUGCCUUUUAGGACUCAAAUUGCUGCUGCUUCUCAUUAAUUGAAGAAACUGGAGAAUAGUCUUUUUUUAUGGAUGACUGUCUUCCGCUUUUACAUCACAACUAGCCCCGCACGUGUCAAACACUGCUGUUGCCAGUUCGGAAACACUGUAGAUGCACGAUAGAUUGUUAGGACUAAAUGAGAAAUAUUCUUUUGUCGGCUCUCUUUCAGCCGAAUUAUUAGUAUUAUAGUUAGACAGUAGUGUAUGUUAGUAGUUCCCAACAUCUUUGGCUUGAAUACAAUAAAAUAUUACUUGUGACCACUUGUCACAGGUUGCAUAUGUCCAUGAUCUGAAACAAUCAAUGAUUUUCCCUUCUAAGAUUGCUUGAUUUGAACAAUUUUAGAGGCUUGAAGAGGUGAAACUAUGUAGUAUUUCAAGAUAAAAUAAAGCAAAAGCCAAAUAUGAGAGGAAAGUUAAAAAGAUAAACAUAAUUUUGUGUAGCAGAAUGUUGUUGUUUUCUUGUUUUCUUCCCUGGUAAUUAGCUCAUGACCCCUUAGAUUCAUCUUGUGACCCCUUGGAGGUGUCACAAACCCCGGGUUGGGAACUGCAUAUCUACAUAUGUUGUAAUGUAUGAUUCUCCUCUAAAAUAUCAGAUAAAUACCUUUUACACUGCAAAAUCAAUGUCCUGUCCAAUGAUAACGCUUGAUACUUUUAUAAAUUCAACAAAAUAAAAAGCAAGUUCUUAUGACAGUGUACAGAACUUUAUUUCAAAUUCUAGUGCAGAUCCCCGAGUUUCCAAAGAUAUAAAUAUCUUAGACAAAAUUUUGGGGGAAAUAUGUAUAAAGUGAUGUACAAGGAAUAUUUCCAUUUGAUGAAAAAGUGCAGCCAUAAAAAAGUCUUGGGUUUGAAUAUUUCACUCGAUGUAAAAAUCAUUUAGCUUAUAUCAGAAGCUUAAGCAGAAUAGAUAUGAAGUAUCAAUAGUGUGGAAUAAGAUAGCUUUAACAACAUUAAAGCUACUUAAGAGGAAAUAAAAGUAGCAAACUGGAUGUUAAGAAGUUAACAGGAUUCUGCACAUUACCAAAAAAACAAUAUAUUUCACUGAAUUACCCUUCAUUGUAUCCACCAGAUAAUCCAAAUAGUUCAGGAGCAUUAAAUCAGAUUUCCCCCCCUCUCUUUCUACCCACAAACACCUGACAGAAACCGAGACUGUGUAGCUCAGAGGCUCUGGAUAAGCCUCAUGUUUUAUUUGCGAAAAGCGGCCCCAUUGUCCCAUAAGUCACCACGCACAGCACUCUUCUGCUUCACGCCACACUGAGCCUGUCCUACUGCGUUAGCAUCACCCGCUGCUAAAGCACUUAGCUUGUGUUCUCCAUGUCCUCUGUGGUACAGCCAAACAUCCAUUUGGAGGUCCUAGGAAACUUUGAAGCUUUUUCACCCACACACUGAGCGAGGGAGGCGCGGGAUGCAUUUGUGACGUUUCGUGAAUACUUUGUCCAAUAAAUAGCCCUCUUCACGAAUACAUUAAAGCUAAUCAAGGACAUGCAUGUAGCCGCGCUUUUCAGCCCAAACAGCAUGAUGGGUAUGAAAUUGGAUUUCUUCAACUGAGGGAUUUUGUUUAAAGAGUUUAAACCAAUAAUAUCUGUAAUACCCUAUUAGCUAGUGACAGCACCAGUUAUCCAUUUGGUUGUCAUAUUUUAUCUGUUGCCCUUUUUACAACACUUGUCAGACAUUGUCACACCCGCGGUGAGAGCCAACAAGGACAGAAGGAGGGCGGAGAAUCUUCCACGUCUGCUGGAAAUCAAUCAACCCUCAUAUACCACACCGCUGAUACAUGCAUCAAACAUACGCUUGUUUUUGGUUUGCUUUAUUGG